CUGAAAGAACUGGCAGAUGUGCCAGUUUCAGAAUGUAAGCAAUCAUGGAGAAUUAGAAAGAAGACUAAAGAAAGGCAAAUGUUGCUACAAUUUUUCCAAAAGGGAAUUGUAGAAGACAAAUUGCUUCACUUUUCAGAACUGGAAGAAAUGAAAGGAGGAUUAAGGAUGAGGAACAUCUACAUUUAAGUCAUGCAAGCCAGCAUUGGUCAUAUGUUGCAGUUGGUCAGUCAAGUAUGGGUCAGGCACUAUGCUAAUUGCUGUGGUUAUAAAGAAAGGUAAAAGACAGUCCUCUGCUCUCAAGGAAAACACUGCUUCAUGAGGGAGACAACAUUAAAACAAUUAUUUAUAAAGUAUAUUCAGGAAAAAUUGAAGAUAAUUAACCAAAGGAAGGUACUAUCAACAGAAUGCAGACCUAAUGCUUUGCUCUUUAGUGAUCUUUGGAUUACUUACAAGUUUGUUUCAUCUAGAUUAACCAUGUUUCAAGCUUCAC